AAGGGAAUUUCCUAUCUUUGGUGCUAUCUAGAUCCAGACCCACUCUGCAAACUCGGGGCGUCUCUCUCAGGCGCAAUCACCCACGAGCGCGGUUCUGAGAGGCGCAGCGAGGAAAGGAGCUGUCGGAUGAGGACUGCUCCGGGAGUCCCGGACCCCGCCUCGCCCUCCUGCUUUUCCUCCUCCGCGCCUUUCUCUUCCUCCUCCUCUUCCCGGCGCCCGAGCCUCCGCGCUGCGGUGGCUGCCUCCUCCGGACAUUCUGGCUGGCGGUGGCGGAGCCCGGGUUCUGGGACCAGAGACCGAAGGUCGCACGGAUGGCGGCGGUGAUGGUGGCGGCGGCUGCUCGACUCCCGGGAAGGAGGUAUAAAAAGGCUCCGAAGACACGUCGCACUUCCCUUGACCAGCCCCCUUCUCCUCCUCCCGCCGCCCUCCUCUCCGCCCCGUAGGCUCCGCCAGCAGCGCCCAGCCCCGGGGACCCGGCGAGCUGCCUGGGCGGGGUCCCGGGCCCGGCCCCCGACUCGCGGGCGCGCGCUCUGCCAGCCCAGGUCCGAGGCCAGAUGUUGCAAUCCGAGCUGUCGACGGGCACUCCCCGCGCGCAACCCCGGGUCCAGUUCGUCCUCGCCCCCAGCACACCUAGAGGGUUCCAGGGCGUCCUCCACCUCUGGCUCCAUCCAGGCCUUCUGGACCCAAGAAUUUAUUCGGAUAAGGACAGGGAUGCUUGAAGUCUCAGGGAGGCACGCCGGCACGGUCCUCACAGGGCCCUGAGGUGCAAUUUGUCUUCACAUACAUCACUUAAAAGUCGUUGUAGAUGGAGAGGUCCUUACUCGGCACUCCCCUGAGCUUUGCUGUAGUCCUCAAGUCCCCCCAACCCCGAACCCUUCCCCAUCCUGGCCCUGCCCGAGGCAGCAAGUCCUACUUUCUCUCUAUUGUACAAAUGAGUCAAUCAAAACGUUCAGAUUUUGCCAAGAUGAUAUUCCAAGCGAGAGGAUUCAAACCAGGCUGUCAAGCCCCCACCGUGCAGACUUUGUACACCAGCUGCACCAAGCAAGAUGAUUAGAAAAUCCGCGAGGUUCCAGGACCACUUGUGCACUCUACACCAGGCACCAUGCUAAGGGUUUUACAUAUAUUUAUUCCAUUUAAGCUCACAAUACUAUCCUCACAGUGCGGACUGGCCAGCAGAGGCACGACCCCGCCUCACAAAUUUAGGUAAACUAGUCCAGCUCCAGGCAAUAGCCAAUGGUAGUUCAGAGACUUGUUUCAGUACAUCCCCCAACUAGGAUGCGCUCCGUAAAGGAGAAAAAGGCACAAAGUGAGAAGGCUCCUGGCCCCAAGGUUUUUUCAGAGAUCAGUGAGAAGCAACUCUGAAGAGACCCAAAUGUCAGGUAGGAGCAGAGGGGAGGAAGAGAAACUGCCCCAAGCAGCUUAGUUUCAUAUUAAACUCCUUGCAUGGUGCCACGAAUAGAUUAACAUGACAGUGCCCUCAAAAGAACCAAGAAGACACACAAGAGUCACAAUCAUUCUAACUCUGAUCUGCUUUCUGUGAAAGAACUGGAGAAGUUAUACUCUAAGGAAAUGGAAGAUGGAAGUUUCCCUUUAUACCUAAUUGUAUUUCUGAAUACUGCCAAGUUUCCAGACAGCAUCUGAAGAUCUGAGUAUUCACUGACUUCCUUUCUCCAUGGGAAGGUGGAAAAAAAUAAAUUUGAGUCAAAAAUCUUAAAAGGCACCCUGCCUGUCUGUAGUCUUGAGAUGUCAGCUUACUUAUUUUAUUCAUUUUGAGUAAACUGCCACCACUCCCUUCAAAUGCAAGCAUCUAGGAGGCAAAUGCCGAUUUUUGAGUUUCUGUGCUGCACACAAACUAGAUCAUUUUGAAUUUAUCUGAGGUUUAAACAGCAAUAUCCUGUUUUUAUUUCCCUGGAAAAUCCAUUUGUAUUAGUUCCAGUCAUAUCCUGGACCUUGUCAAGUUCUGUCCUAAAGAGAAGAAGAAAUGGAGAGUAUAGAUUAAACUGGCCAGUCAGCUACAAGAAAGGACACUGUGGGAGCAGUAUGGAGGGACAUCCAGUUCCAUUUCAGGAGAAGGGAGAAUGGAGACUGAUGUCAUGAUUUUCUUGAAGAAGAGGAUACAUGAACUGAGACUAAAAACAGGUUUGCUAGCCCUUCCCUCUCCAAAGUGCAUGGUGUGGAAAUUUAAAAAUUGAAAGGCAGAGAGAUGAAAGAAAUAAUAUGGCAUGCUCAGAAAAUUAUAAGUAUCUAUAUUGCUGAUUUUAGGAGACAACAGAAGAGCAGGAAAGGUUGUAAUAGAAGAGAUGCCACAGACAAUCAUGCAACAGUGUGAUUUUGCACGUUCUCUUCAUGCCCAUCAGAGUGUGUUAGCCAUAAGACUGGUCCUCAUUAUAACUUGGGACACUUCUCAGAUCCAAGACUAGAAAUCAUUGUUCUGAGGUGUUAACGGUUUGGUGAAGGAGAUGGACA